UCCAGACUCCUACGGGAGGCAGCAGUGGGGAAUAUUGGGCAAUGGAGGAAACUCUGACCCAGCAACGCCGCGUGAAGGAUGAAGGUUUUCGGAUUGUAAACUUCUGUCGCGAGGGACGAAGAAUGACGGUACCUCGUAAGAAAGCCCCGGCUAACUACGUGCCAGCAGCCGCGGUAAUACGUAGGUGGCAAGCGUUGUCCGGAUUUACUGGGUGUAAAGGGCGUGCAGCCGGAGAGACAAGUCAGAUGUGAAAUCCACGGGCUCAACCCGUGAACUGCAUUUGAAACUGUUUCCCUUGAGUGUCGGAGAGGUAAUCGGAAUUCCUUGUGUAGCGGUGAAAUGCGUAGAUAUAAGGAAGAACACCAGUGGCGAAGGCGGAUUACUGGACGAUAACUGACGGUGAGGCGCGAAAGCGUGGGGAGCAAACAGGAUUAGAUACCCGGGUA
rnacentral:rRNA from 1 species